rnacentral:lncRNA from 1 species
UACAUUUUCAAUGAUAGUGGUGUUAGCUGUAGAAGCUCAGACAACUUUAAAAUGAUCAAAGUUGGAGAGAACCAUAAGUAGCUACAUCAGGCCAUUACCAUGCAGCUCUCUAAAGGUUAUAAGUUAAGUAGAACACAUCCAGAAAAAUAGAAAAAUAUGGAUUACAGACUCACUCUUGUAGAGAACACUCUCAGCUUCUAUAAAUUUCAUUAAGGGCUUGAUUGUGAUAUUCUUUCACAUGUCAAGUGAUAUCUUCAGUACUUCAUUCCAACAGUGUAACUCAAAGAAUCGGGUAUUAUUCAACUUGAGAAAGGUAUCACAAUCUAACCUUAAAUGCUGAGUGCUCUUAAUGCACAAUAGUACCAGGCUCACUGAGGAGAAAAUUAAUGUUAGACUUUUGAGGUGAAUAAUAUUCAUUGUUUUGCAUAAACGAUAUUUUCUACCAAAAAUCAUCCAGGAAAUUGCUUAACUUGUAUGCUAAAUCCUCUCGGGGAAGAGGAAGAUAGCUCCAGUUUCACUGCCUAAGUGUCUGUUCCAUUUAAAGGAUAUUAGUAGCCAAAUGAAAAAUGCAUGAAUCAAUCAGCAACAAGGACCUUGAUCUCCAAAUGAGACAAUGCUGAGCUUUGAGAUUUAUGGUCUUGCUUCCAGAAUUCCAUUAUUUGGAGGAACAACAACAAUAACAAUGGGAGAUGACAUCAGAAUAUUUAUGGAAGGGGACAGAGAGGAAAUCUGGAUCCGAAGCCACAAGAGAACAGGUGACAGAAGCUCUGCAACACCUUCCCUACAUUCAUGAAACAAGGGUGACUGCAUAGAUCACCUGGCAAUACAAUACCAUCAGCCUGCACUUGCACUCUGUGGGAAUAAGGAAUUUGGUACAUGCACUCUACUCAUGUUUUAUGCUUGAUAUUUCAAAAUGGUGCUCCACUAGUGUUUCUUGAUUGGGUACAUUAAUUCUUACAAACUUCUCUUCACCAACGGUGCAGAGUCUCAGUUGAUAUAAAUUGGAGUAAAACUAUUGAAGUCUGUGCAACAACAUGGAUUUAUCUGUGACAUACACUGAGCCAGCAGUCAGCAUCAGUGCUAGAGCAGUGAUCCCACCAGCUUAAAGAAACCAAAAGGCAAAGCUGCUUUUACUGAAUGUAGAAGGGAUGACUACGAUCCCACCU